rnacentral:rRNA from 1 species
CCUACGGGAGGCAGCAGUGGGGAAUUUUGGACAAUGGGCGAAAGCCUGAUCCAGCAAUGCCGCGUGCAGGAAGAAGGCCUUCGGGUUGUAAACUGCUUUUGUACGGAACGAAACGGUCCGCUUUAAUACAGUGGGCUAAUGACGGUACCGUAAGAAUAAGCACCGGCUAACUACGUGCCAGCAGCCGCGGUAAUACGUAGGGUGCGAGCGUUAAUCGGAAUUACUGGGCGUAAAGCGUGCGCAGGCGGUUAUGUAAGACAGAUGUGAAAUCCCCGGGCUCAACCUGGGAAUUGCGUCUGUGACUGCAUAGCUAGAGUACGGUAGAGGGGGAUGGAAUUCCGCGUGUAGCAGUGAAAUGCGUAGAUAUGCGGAGGAACACCGAUGGCGAAGGCAAUCCCCUGGACCUGUACUGACGCUCAUGCACGAAAGCGUGGGGAGCAAACAGGAUUAGAUACCCUGGUAGUCCACGCCCUAAACGAUGUCAACUGGUUGUUGGGUGCAUUAGUACUCAGUAACGAAGCUAACGCGUGAAGUUGACCGCCUGGGGAGUACGGCCGCAAGGUUGAAACUCAAAGNGAAGUUGACGGNGNGAGAGNGACGACGACGACGACGAGGGAGGAGG